GCACCUACAAGCUCCAGAAUUUGUAAACAUUAAAAGCCUGAGCCUGUUUAAGACGCUGCCGUGGUGGGACUUAAUAGGAAUGUGGAUUCACUGUCUUCACAUGUAUUUUACUUGCCUGUGAACUUCCUCAUUCUUCCCAGUUGUGGUGUUAGUUGAAGUAAAUCGCUUCUGUGGGCACGGCAGCACGGAGAGAGGGCUUGCACCGGUCACCUGCCACUCUGAGGAACUACCAGUCCAAGAAAAACAACGUUCGUGGUGUUAUUUUUCUAGCAUUUUCCCCAACUGUUCAUCCCUCCUGUGACUGACUUCCUGCUUCAGUUUAACAAAACAAUGGGUCUACUUCAAUUUAGUGAGAGUAGUAAAAGAUACUGGAAAAACUUCGGAAAUCCCAUAUGCUUAGUACACUUUGAUGCUUCCCUAAAGCACUGUAGUAGGAUGAAGUCAGUAGUAGUUAAAAAAAAAAGAAAGAAAAAAGGUGUGUACAGCAUAAUUGAGUAUGGAAAAUAAUAAUAAGUCAUUUAGUGAUCAAAUUACAUCGUUUUUGUAACAAGCCCUUCCAACCUUGGACAGUCCUGCUUUGUAUAUUGAUUACAUAGGUGAGUAUUGGCAGACUGUUUUUCAGAGGGGAAUAUACCUCAUCAAAUAGGAGGUAUUUAGAUUAAUCGUGAGUUCACACAACCCAGAGAAGAUGUUUCAUUAGAGAUUUGAGCAGUGCUAAAUAAUGAUACCAAUACCAAUCUAUCUUUUAAUUCAUCCCUUUAGGUUUGGGGGAGAGCAUUUACCUGUGAGUAGUGGUCGUAGGUCAAUGCCUAGUUGUCCUGGUCAACUUCUCUAAUUCACCAGACUGCUCUCUACAUGGCAUGCAAAUAUUGACAGGGUGUGUCCAAGGUGGUGUCAAAGGCGAAACAGAGUAUGCAUGACUCCUAUGACUCACAGGAGAGAAAGAAGAUAUAAAAGCAUUAAUUUUGCCACUUGAAAGCUACUAUCAUUGAAGACUUCUUGCUAGCAGACCUGCGGUGCUUUGCUUCAAAAGUAAGUUAAAAGGAAGACUUGUUUUUUUCCUGGGAAGGGGAGACCUUCUGGAGCCGAGGACAUGGAGGAUGGUUUGUAUCUCUCUGCUCCGUUUAAUCAUCUCAAUAUAAUCAACUGAAACGGGUACAUCACUUCAGCUUCAGGAAAUAAUACAAAACCAAGACAACGCAACUGAAGUUUGGCUACUUCUUUGUAGAUAGAAUGAGCAGCAGUUUAACCACAGCCCAGAGCUUUUCUUUGGGUAUUAGUUUCUGUGGGGUUUAUUAGAUCUGUUAUUUGCAUGAUGGUAUUACUUUAUGGCCGUUAAUCAGCUCAGCAUUGCUUAGCAAUAAGUGGUGUGCUCCUUGGGCAACACCAGCACAAGCUUCUCUCUGUCUUACUUGUAUUUUCUGACAUUUAAUCUGUAUGUGCAGUAUAUUAAUAAAAAAAUAAUUUAAAAAAUUA